UACGGAGGGUGCAAGCGUUAAUCGGAAUUACUGGGCGUAAAGCGCACGCAGGCGGUUGGAUAAGUUAGAUGUGAAAGCCCCGGGCUCAACCUGGGAAUUGCAUUUAAAAGUGUGCAGCUAGAGUCUUGUAGAGGGGUGUAGAAUUCCAGGUGUAGCGGUGAAAUGCGUAGAGAUCUGGAGGAAUACCGGUGGCGAAGGCGGCCCCCUGGACAAAGACUGACGCUCAGGUGCGAAAGCGUGGGGAGCAAACAGG
rnacentral:rRNA from 1 species